rnacentral:rRNA from 1 species
CGGACGGGUGAGUAACGCGUGGGUAACCUGCCUCACACUGGGGGAUAACAGUUAGAAAUAGCUGCUAAUACCGCAUAAGCGCACAGUUCCGCAUGGAACAGUGCGAAAAACUCCGGUGGUGUGAGAUGGACCCGCGUCUGAUUAGCCAGUUGGCGGGGUAACGGCCCACCAAAGCGACGAUCAGUAGCCGGCCUGAGAGGGUGACCGGCCACAUUGGGACUGAGACACGGCCCAA